AUACGGAGGGUGCGAGCGUUAUCCGGAUUUAUUAGGUUUAAAGGGUGUGUAGGCGGGAGCCUAAGUCAGUGGUGAAAUCUCACAGCUUAACUGUGAAACUGCCAUUGAAACUGGGUUUCUUGAGUAUAGUUGAGGUAGGCGGAAUAUGUAAUGUAGCGGUGAAAUGCAUAGAUAUUACACAGAACACCGAUUGCGAAGGCAGCUUACUAAGCUAUUACUGACGCUGAUGCACGAAAGCGUGGGUAGCGAACAGGAUUAGAAACCACAGUAGUCC
rnacentral:rRNA from 1 species